AUAUUUGAAACCACUGAACUAAAUUAACUUGGACGUGCAAAUUGGCCAUCAUUAGUUCUUACAAUAUUAUUACUCAGUCUUCUCAGCUGGGGCUUCAUCAGUGUCAGCUUUCUUCUCAGCUUCAGCUGGCUUCUCAACUGCAGGUUUCUCUUCAUCUUUCACUUCCUCCUUUGCAGCUUCAACUUCUGCCUCUGGCUUCUUCUCUUCUUCCUUGGCCUCUUUCUCAGCAGCUGGCUCUGGUGUCUCCGUUGGAGUAGUUUCCACUUCUUCAGUUUUCUCUGCGGUAGUCUUCUCCGCUGCUGCUGGCUGAUCUUCGGCUACCACCUCCUUUGUCUCAACUUCAGCUGGGGCUUCAGCUUCUGGAGUAACCACCGCUGCUUCUUCAGUUACAGCAACAGCUUCUGCUUCCUUUGCUGCUGGUGGCUCUUCAGCAACGGGUUCUGGUGCCACAGGUGCUGCAGAAGCUGAAGCAACUACCUCCUCUGUUUUAGUUUCUUCAGUCUUGACUGGUUCAUCAGCUGUUUUAGUUUCUUCAGCCUUGACUGGCUCCUCAGCUUUGAUCUCCUCGGAAAGAGCAGUCUUUGCUGACACAACCUGCAUACGAACAAUCAAAUUAAUUAAUUCGCCUAUUAUUACCAUAACGCCAAUAUGCAUGCAUAAGAACUUGAUUACUAGAAGUUGAGUUUCACCUCAACUGUGGCCAUAUUGCAAUUUCAACAGCUAGAAAACUACAAAGAAAACAAGUAUAUAAAUAUAAGAAAGCAAAGAAAUUGACAAUGCGCUUGAGUGUUUGAGAUGAUCAGAGUGUGAGUGAUGAGGCUGCUUUAUAUAGUAGUGACUAGUGAAAAGGAGCCUCAAGUUGAUGAGAGAAAAGGAGGAGGGGGGUGGCUGAGUGGGGUCCUUGAUUGAAGAAUCUUGGGAUUUGACACCUCACCACACUGACUUCCAAGGGCAUGAGCGAGCAUGUUUGGUAAUUAUGCGAGAAGAAAGUUUCUGAGAUGGGGUUUUGCUAUUUUUAAUACAUAAUAGUUUGUACCCUUUCGAGUUUGAUUGGGGAAUGCCAAUUGCCAAACAAUGGUCGCAAAUUUUCCGCUGAGCUAUCAUCUUCCUUUGUAGUGUGUGCUCUGUACAGUCGGCUGUUUAGGCGUCCUUGACAAUCAUUCACCUCACGUUCUUGAUCGAAUAUCUAUUACUUUUAACUGUGGCAAACCCUCAAUAAUUUAAUCUCACUGUGAAUGAUAUUUCUGACAGUCACAUGAAGCCACGGACCAGCAGUGCUGUAUGCAAUAUAUAUAUUAAACUAAUUUGGAAUGUUCUUUUUUCAAGAAUUUACAUUGAUUAAUAUACUGGUAACUAUUCUCUAAAAAUAACAGUUGCACAAUUGAAAAUGUGGAUUUAAACUAGGUAAUAUCGUAAUGAAGCCAUGGCAAUUUCAUAUUGAAAAGCAGACGUUUUAAAUAAUUUCCAAAACUUAUCAACCCAUCAAUUUAUAAUUUGAUUUAUCACAUUUUGGUUACACUCUUAUUUCGGAAGCGGGACCAAAAGAAAAAUAGGCUAUCCACAUCAGCCAACCAAAUCAGCAAACGGGCCUCAACCGUAAAGAGCAUGGGGCGGCGUCAGCCGGUGGGUCCCCACGGGACCAAUAGGAUUAAUUUACGUGGAAGAAACGAAUAAAAUUCUGACGUGGCAAGCAUGCUCCAUGACUUCUUCGCCCCCUGUUCCAGCGAAUCAGGUAUGAAAGAAUGUGGACCCAGUGGGUACACCAAGGGAACAGAUGUUGACCAUGCUGACUCAGGACCCACUCUGUUUCAUCAUCAUCGACAUCGAACGUUGAUGUUACUGUGUAGGCAAAUGCAAUGAAUCAUUAGGCAUGUUAAUUAUUUAAGGGUAUAUGCACGUACACAAAAUUGAUGAAAUAAAUAAUUGUAAAUAUAUAUUAGUCAUUUUCUAGUGCAGGCAACAUGCGUCUUUAUUAUUUUUUUUAUGUAGAUAUAUUUUUAAAUCGUAGGAUUUAAGAGAGUUAGGUGUUGUUUGUUUUUUAGUCUGAAGUUUGAAUUUAAUUUUUUUUAUACAUUUAUUUAUUUUAAGUUGUUUGUUUUUUUAAUUUAUCACUUAUUAUCAGAUAAUUUUAUCUGAAUAGAAAAAAUAUACUUUUAUCUGAAGUCUGAAGUCUAAAUGGAAAAUUUUAAUUUCAAAUCUCAAAAAUACCCUUAACAAUUAUAUAUUUCCCAUAUUAUCUAUAAGCCUAAUAUUUUUGUAUUAUUCUUGAUUUUUUUAAUUACUUUAAAUUUUUAUUCACACGAUAACAUUAACUAAACUGAAAUAUUGAACAAAUCAAAUUAUGUCAAUUGUGAUUAAUCAAAAAUAAAAUCAACAAUGUUGACUUUAUAAUAACAUUUGAUGUUAUAAUUACAUCUUUUAUUACAAAAUUAAAUUAAGAUCAACAAUGAUAGUAUUUUUUAUUUAAUACUACUAAACUAAUCAACAUAUGGAAAUUAUAAAUUGUGAAAAACAAAUAUAUGCACCAAUAAAAGGAUAUUUAUGUCAAACUACUAGUUUUUAAAUCUUUCUCUUCAGACGUAAAAAAAGAGAAAACAAACAUAUCAUUCAGGUAUUUUCAUUCAUACCUAUUCAGACUUCAGUAAAAUUCAGACCUAUUCAAAUUUCAGAUAAAAAAACAAAUGCAAUCUUAAUUUUUAACUCUCUAAAACCGUAUGAUUUUAUAGUUUAUUCAAAAAUUAAUUUCUUUUAAACAACAUGAUUUAAUAAUGUGUUCGCAUUAAAAAAAAUACGAACAUUCAUACCUAAUAAUUAUUAUAUAUACAUACACACACGCGGAGUUUAAAUUAAUAGGUUUGUGCAUAUAUCUUUUUAGGCCAAGAAAGAGAGAGAGAGAGAGAGAGAGAGAAACAUGACUUCACACACAAGACUUGUUUUCCAACAUACAAUUCCAACUAUCAUUAUAAUUUAAACCUGUCUAAUUUAUCUUAAAUAUUUUUAUUAUGUCCAAUUCAACAAAUAUGAAAUAAUAAAUUGGCUUGUUUGGUUUUUUUGCAGUAAAAACAAGAAAUGUUAGACCUUCGUGUGCGCACUUUGUUAUCAAAAUUUUAUAGACAUUGUUGUUGUUGUUGUUAUUAUUGAAAAAUUCUUCAAUAUUAGCGUUGAAUCUUUCCUUAAAAAAAAAAAUCAGAUUUUUUUAGCUUGAAGUUACCAUAAAUUAGACAGAAAAAUAUAUUAGUAUUCAUUGCCAACAAAUAUGCAACCCGUCACGUUACUGCGCUUUUGAACAAUCAUGAAUCCCUAGGGCUGUAAAGCACAACUCUAAACUGAAGACUUCGUACGGUAGCAAACACUCGAUAAUGCCUCGAGGUUUGUGGUAUUUGCGGCGUCUAAGAUAUCGGAUGACGUCCGACGUGUCGUUCUACUCAAAUUCAAAUUCUCAAUUCAUCUUUGAUUUUUGGGACACGAGGCAGAGGUAAAAUAAAAAGGCCACGAACCUGGCUUCUAUGUUUAGGCAGAUCCCGAAAAGGCCAAAAGACAAUAGGGCGGGCGGUGGAGGGGCCUACAAUUGUAGGACCCAUAAUUAAUUUUUACCAUUAAAGCAGUGUCACGUGGGCAAGUAGAUCACCGACCACGUAAUUGAGUUUUGGAUUUGAUUGGCUAAUUGGAUGUAAAAAGGAGGAAGGGGGCUCACUUGACGCAUCAUGAUUGCUGUUUUGACAGAGUGGAGGGAUUAUACGAUUCGUGGUAACGUCAAUGGCUUAUCGUCUGAUCUCUCUUGGCACUUUCCAUAUUUUUUCAAUGAUUUGAAUGAUUAUUGAUGAUAUUUGGGUAGCUUGGAGAGCUCCUCGUGUGGAUUUAAAUUUCAAGCGACUCUUAUGAGCAAACAGGCAUCUUGUAACAUAACCACCCUUAUUUGUUUUGAGCUUCAUGGGAUUUUGUGGCUAUGGAAAGCUGGGUUUAGCCCAAAUUAUUACAAGCCCGAUAAAGAAACGAGGUCGUGCAUACGUGCUCAUUUACUCAUGGAGUGUUAUUAUUCGGCCCCGCAUUUCAUCUCAUGUGACCCCGUCUAAUAUUAAAAAUUAUCCUAAAGGACAGAAAGAAAUUGUGCUCUAUUUCUUUUUCAAUCAAACUCAAUAACCCAGCAGCUCUUCUCUUCUAUAUUUUUACUUGCAUGUCAUAGCAGUCAAAUGUUUU
rnacentral:lncRNA from 1 species